UCAAAAUUCGUUCUCUUUCUCAUUCAUUCUACCUUUUUACAAACGUAUCAGAGCAGAAUUUUUUUUUUCUUUUAUCACAAUCACAAGUGGUGUGGUAUAUAUGAUAUACGUACAAAUGAACAUCUUUGAACAAAGAAUCCCGAUUCACAAUUCAUAUCAUUGCUCAUACUGAAACUUAUAAAUUAUUCUAUUCAAGAAAUCGAAUUCCACGCUCAAGACUUUUAAUACUUUUUUAUCUUUUUUAAUUGACAUAGACCCCAGUCAUCUAGUAAAAUGAGGAUGAUGCGCCGGUAAUGGUCGGGAUAGCUCAGCUGGUAGAGCAGAGGACUGAAAAUCCUCGUGUC
rnacentral:tRNA from 1 species